CGACGGGUGUCCGUUGCAAGGGACUCCGAAGAGCUGUGGCAAGGGGUGAAAAGCCAAUCUAACCUGGAGAUAGCUGGUCUUCUGCGAAACCCGUUUUAGCGGGUCGCCCAUUUAUUGAAAUUAAAUUCGUUACUAGACGGUACGGCACUGGAAGCCACGCAGCUUUUGCUGCAUAAUCGGGGGGCUGUCAUGGCUCUAUCGAUGGCUUCUAACCCCGGAAAUGUAUAGUAUACAAUGAUGGGCAAUCAGACGUAUCGUGAUAAGGCGAUUCGUCAAAAGGGCAACAGCCCAGAACAGGUGUGAAGGUCCCUAACAAGCUACUGAGUGAACACAAGGCAGUCCUCUCCAGUGUMUCUCCACAAAGUGGGCUUGGUUUCCAGGCCUAUCCUUUCAUAUUUCAUAAGGAUAACAAUUUGGCUGUAUGCUGGAAUACCCUGAUAAAUGUUAGAUGGUAUUAUCCUUUACCAAUAAUUCUAAUAUAGGGGCAAUCAGCAGGKAAGUUCAAUAUUUUAACCCCUCAACGACCACACGCCAAAACCAAACUACAGGUUACUWAGAAGUCAAUAAGAAAUGCUAUUCAAUCCUAAUUACAUUAGUGGGUUAGUCCAAGCUAAGUCCUCUAGGUCGUAGCAGGCUGCUCCCUACGAAGACCGGGGUGGAUCUUUUUUUGUGUCUCCUGACCCUCUUAGGCGUACCUAUGCCGCUACGAGGGAAGGAUUUGAUAAAUACCUGUAAUUUAGUAUGAUAUGGUCUAAACAUGGUUGAAAAAUCAUGAUAUAAUAUUGUGGAAGCAGCCACCUUUUAGCGAUAGCGUAACAGCUCAGUGGUCUGAGCCUCCCUGUAAAAAGGGUAUAUUGCCUGGUGAGGGCGCCAAAAAUGUAACGGGUCUAUAGUAGUUGUCUCUCUGUUCCAGCUUUGGAUAUGGAGGGAGUGGCAGUUUCUUUACUGUCUCACCGAAACCCUGUCCUAGAUGUAAAAUUCUAGGGGUAGCAGAAUACCCAGCAAAUGGAAUGAAGCUUGCUCAUUGAGCCGGUGGACAUAGCUGGGCUAAGAAUGCUGACAUGAGUAGCCUAAAAGGAGGGUAAUUCCCUCUUCGCCGAAAGCAGAAGGGUUUCAUUUGUAAGGUCUAUACCUAGAUGAUUAAAGCAGCGGCCUCUAAGGUUCAGAGUAACAAAUUAGUUCCGAUGAGUAACUCUUCUAUAGGGCAGUAACCUUCCUUAUAAGUUUACCUUCAAGUAAUUAGAGGUAUACUUCAAAGAGUAAGGUUCGGGAAAGAGCCCUACAGAAUAAAUCUUAAAACCGUACCCUAAACCGACACAGGUCUGCAAGUAGAGCAUACUAAGGCGUAGAGAUAAUCGUCUUGAAGGAACUCGGCAAAAUGACCCCGUAACUUCGGGAGAAGGGGUGCCACUAAUAAGUGGCGGCACUAAACAGGGGGGCGCGACUGUUUACUUAAAAGUACGACCUGCAAAGCUAUCAGAUACAAUAUGGUUAGAGCCCAUUAUGGAAGUAAAUCUCCAUAAGCUUACCUACGGUUGCAUAGUUGGUAACGAUUAUGUGAUAAGUUGUAGGGGACAAAUGUAAGACAUCUAUUUAAGCACAAAAAUAGUACACUGCUAAGCUAGAUUACUAUGGAUAACGAAAGUGAACAUACAUUGAGGCGUCGUUAAAACAGAAUAUCGAAAGUGUUUGAUACGAUAUCAUGAGUAUUGGAUUAAUCUGCUUUUAAUAGAUUAAUUGAUUUACCAUUAUAUGCUCCGGCGUAGAGUAUGAUCCUAAGGUAAUCAUAAAGGUGUAUCUGAUGGAACAGGCUAACCCCAAUGAUCUCCUAUUUUAGGUAGGAUAAGAGUGAUUUUAUCUAUUUGAUCAGUGGGGAGAGGACAGUGCAAAAAGCGAAUGCCAUUCUGUAAUGGAAAGGAUAGAAUCUAUUAUGAUUUACUUCGAAAGAAGGCCUACUUGCACAAGGAUGUUGAAAUUCGAUAAGAAAUUGAUCUUUUUCUAUUUAUUUAUCUAGUAAUGAGUAUGUUGGUAUUUCACUUAAAGCUAGAAAUCAAUUCUUGAAAUUAGUUUUAAAAGAAUUAAACGACUUGCAGGUCAUAAAUUGACUAAAAGCUUAAAAUGAUGUACCAACUAUGGAGGCUAAACUAUUGAAGAAAAAAGAUAAUGAUCUAUUCCUGAGUAAUCUAUUUCAAUGUUUGAGCCGUAUGCGGUGAAAGUCGCACGUACGGUUCUGAGGAGGGGAAAGAGAGAGUCUCCUACCUAUUCCAACCACCGGACUCUGCUU
rnacentral:rRNA from 1 species